AUUGAACGCUGGCGGCAUGCCUUACACAUGCAAGUCGAACGGCAGCAUGGGUGCUUGCACCUGAUGGCGAGUGGCGAACGGGUGAGUAAUGCAUCGGAACGUACCCGGAAGUGGGGGAUAACGUAGCGAAAGUUACGCUAAUACCGCAUAUUCUGUGAGCAGGAAAGAGGGGGAUCGCAAGACCUCUCGCUUUCGGAGCGGCCGAUGUCAGAUUAGCUAGUUGGUAGGGUAAAAGCCUACCAAGGCGACGAUCUGUAGCGGGUCUGAGAGGAUGAUCCGCCACACUGGGACUGAGACACGGCCCAGACUCCUACGGGAGGCAG
rnacentral:rRNA from 1 species